CAGCAGCCACGGGAAAACGAAGGGUGCAAGCGUUACUCGGAAUUACUGGGCGUAAAGCGUGCGCAGGCGGUUUGUUAAGACGGAUGUGAAAUCCCCGGGCUUAACCUGGGAACUGCGCUUGUGACUGCACAGCUAGAGUAUGGCAGAGGGGGGUGGAAUUCCACGUGUAGCAGUGAAAUGCGUAGAGAUGUGGAGGAACACCGAUGGCGAAGGCAGCCCCCUGGGCCAAUACUGACGCUCAUGCACGAAAGCGUGGGGAGCAAACAGGAUUAGAUACCCCUGUAGUCCCUGUCUCUUAUAC
rnacentral:rRNA from 1 species